AUGAAUUUCAACAGAGAUGGCA
rnacentral:piRNA from 1 species